rnacentral:rRNA from 1 species
AACGAACGCUGGCGGCAGGCCUAACACAUGCAAGUCGAGCGAACCCUUCGGGGUUAGCGGCGGACGGGUUAGUAACGCGUGGGAAUAUACCCUUUGGUACGGAAUAGCCUCGGGAAACUGAGAGUAAUACCGUAUGUGCCCUCGGGGAAGGAUUAUCGCCAAGGAUUAGCCCGCGUUGGAUUAGAUAGUUGGUGGGGUAAGUGGCCUACCAAGUCUACGAUCCAUAGCUGGUUUGAGAGGAUGAUCAGCAACACUGGGACUGAGACACGGCCCAGACUCCUACGGGAGGGCAGCAGUGGGGGAAUCUUAGACAAUGGGCGGCAAGCCUGAUCUAGCCAUGCCGCGUGGACGAUGAAGGCCUUAGGGUUGUAAAGUACCUUUCUAGAU